CUACAUUUCUAGCUGGCUGAUUCUGCACUACCUUCCCCGCCGACCGUCUGUCAUCUCCUCUUUGCUUCUUGGAGCAAUGCCGCUUUACCUCAUACUAUUGGUGCCUCAAAGUCUACCCAAUCUCUGUAUUGCACUGGAGAUGUUCGUGCUAAGGAACACAGCAAUAGGGACGUGCACGACU